rnacentral:tRNA from 1 species
AAAAAGAUAAGCUAAAUAAGCUAUUAGGUUCAUACCCUAAGCAUGAAAGCCCUAUUCUUUCUCUUUUUA